UUGAAUUAAACCUGGUUGGGUUGUGCUGGCCUCUCGGGGCAUGUGCACGCCUGAUCACCGUUUUCUAACCACCUGUGCACCUUUUGUAGACUCUUGGUUUGGGGGGUUGCUUAACGGCUCUCCCUGUUCACCUUCAAGGUCUAUGAUAUUAUACACCACAAAAGUAGUAACAGAAUGUCUUAUUGAGGGCCUCAGUGCCUUUAAUUUUAAUA
rnacentral:misc_RNA from 1 species